rnacentral:rRNA from 1 species
CCUACGGGGGGCUGCAGUGAGGAAUAUUGGUCAAUGGGCGCACGCCUGAACCAGCCAAGUCGCGUGAGGGAGGACGGCCCUACGGGUUGUAAACCUCUUUUGCCAGGGAGCAACGGGCGCCACGUGUGGCGUCACUGAGAGUACCCGGAGAAAAGCAUCGGCUAACUCCGUGCCAGCAGCCGCGGUAAUACGGGGGAUUCGGGGGUUAUCCGGAUUUAUUGGGUUUAAAGGGUGCGUAGGGGGAUCGUUAAGUCAGUGGUCAAAUUGAGGGGCUCAACCCCUUCCCGCCAUUGAAACUGGCGUUCUUGAGUGGAAGAGAAGUAUGCGGAAUGCGUGGUGUAGCGGUGAAAUGCAUAGAUAUCACGCAGAACCCCGAUUGCGAAGGCAGCAUGCCGGCUUCCGACUGACGCUGAAGCACGAAAGCGUGGGGAUCGAACAGGAUUAGAUACCCGGGUAGUC